GAAAUCAUAUUUAUCAUUCGUAAUUGGUGGUGAAUUUGAUAACGUAAGGGAAAAAAAUGAUGUUACCUUACUAUUAGUGUUGUCCAAAACUGGUGCCAGAAGACUCGGUAAGGCCAGAGACGCAAACGUUAGUCGUCCUAAUCAGGCGUAAAGGGUUUGUAGGCUGCUUUGAAAAUUUUACUUUUUAUAAUAGCUCUGUCACCGUAAAAUUACUAAAUCAGUAAUUUAUAUAAUUUAAUUAUAAAUGAUAUUACAAAUUUAAUUAUUAAUAAUAUCCGUGUGUCUGUAAAAAUAAAAUGAAUUAAAGCUAGGAUCAAAUAGAGGAUAAACCGAAUAAUACUUAGAGUAGGGAUGAUAUCCGUAGAUACUAAGGGGAAUACUAAUGGUGAAAGCUUUUUAUCUACUAUUGAUUGACGCUGAGAAACGAAGGUGAGAAUAGGAAAUAGGAUUAGAUACCCAGAUACCUCUCACUGUCAACGAUGAAUGGUGGUUGUUAGUUUUAAUAAAAACUGGUAACGAUGUUAACACGAUAACCAUUCCGCCUUGCGAGUACGGUUGCAAAACUGAAACCAAAAAAAUUAGUCGGUCU
rnacentral:rRNA from 1 species